UAGGGAAUCUUCCGCAAUGGGCGAAAGCUUGACGGAGCAACGCCGCGUGAGUGAUGAAGGUCUUCGGAUCGUAAAACUCUGUUAUUAGGGAAGAACAAAUGUGUAAGUAACUAUGCACGUCUUGACGGUACCUAAUCAGAAAGCCACGGCUAACUACGUGCCAGCAGCCGCGGUAAUACGUAGGUGGCAAGCGUUGUCCGGAUUUAUUGGGCGUAAAGCGAGCGCAGGCGGUCAAUUAAGUCUGAUGUGAAAGCCCCCGGCUCAACCGGGGAGGGUCAUUGGAAACUGGUUGACUUGAGUGCAGAAGAGGAGAGUGGAAUUCCAUGUGUAGCGGUGAAAUGCGUAGAUAUAUGGAGGAACACCAGUGGCGAAGGCGACUCUCUGGUCUGUAACUGACGCUGAGGCUCGAAAGCGUGGGGAGCGAACAGG
rnacentral:rRNA from 1 species